UAGAAGGGCGAUUUUUGUCUUGAGUUAGAUGUGCGAAGGGCGCCGUUGCUUACAAACAAAAAGGUCGAUCCGAUGGUCAAAAUGUCCAGGAUUUUUUGUCAGACACAGGUGGCAACCCUACCACAGACCCAAAUCAUAAUUACAUUUCAGCUGUGU